AAAUCUAGUUGAUCCUGCUAGAGGCUGCUGCUCUUCCGCUACGGAUAAGCCAUGCAAGUUUCUCGCGAGAGAGCAAACUGCUCAGUAACACGUAGCUAACCUGACCUUAAGCGGAGGAUAACCUCGGGAAACUGAGG
rnacentral:rRNA from 1 species